CGUGAAUGACUUCAUAACAAGCAAACUGCCGAGAGGCAAGAGCUACAAAAUUAAUAAUUCAUCAAUUAAACGGUCGCCGGUGCAAUUUAAUGACAUCUGAGAUGAGGAUUAAGUGUGGUAGCAAUUAUCACAAAGUAAAUCUUAGUGUGUACCACAAAUGUUAGAGGAACUGGUUAAGUAUAAAUACAUGUACAUGAAACAUGUACUUCCCAAAGUUUGCAUUUAGUAGUUCCUGAUUAUAUACUAGAUUAAAUAUGCUUUCGUCUGGAAAUUGGAAUAAAUAUGAGAAACAGUACAAGAGAGAACAAUAGGAAAUGUGAUUUUUGCGGUUCUAUGUGCUGGAAGUGGUGACUGGAAGAGGCCUACGGGGAAUUCUGUCAGGAAGAGAUAUGCUCUGAGUGCUUGUUGAAAGGUAAAAUGGAAAAUGUCAUAAACAAAUCUGUGGAGAAUAGAUACAAGUGUGAGAUAUGUAGCUAUGCUAGCAAUAUUAGUUGGAAUUUUAGGAGACAUAUGAGAACACAUACUGGAGUGAAAUGUUUUAAAUGUGAUUUUUGUAGCUAUGCAAGCGCUGAAAAGGGAGACCUGAAAAGACAUACGAAUUUACACACGGCUGAGAAAUGUUUAAAGUGCGAUUUUUGUGACUAUACAAGUAACUUCAACUAUAGUCUUAAAACUCAUGUUAGAAUGCAUACUGGGGAGUGUUUUAAGUGUGAUAUUUGUACUUUCACAAGCAAUUUUGAUAGUGUUGUUAGAAGACAUAAGAAAAUUCAUACAGGAGAAAAAAACUUUAAGUGUGAUUUAUGUAAUUAUGCAAGUAACCGAAGUGUUAAUUUGAAAAGGCAUAAAACAGUACAUACAGGUGAAGCUGGAGAAAAAUGCUAUACAUGUGGUAUUUGUAACUAUGCAAGUAAUGGACGCAGACAUCUUGAAAGACAUAUGGAAGUACAUACAGGAGAAAAACACUUUUUGUGUCAUGUUUGUGGUUUGAGAUACAGAAAGAAUGUAACGUUGAAAACACAUAUGAGAAUACAUACUGGAGAGAAAUAUUUGAAUUGUAACUUGUGCUGAAAGGCAAGGUUGAAGAAACAUACGAGAAUACACUUGAGAGAGAAAUAUUUUAUUUAUAUGUUUCAAAUUUGAUCUUUGCGACUUUACCUAAAACUUACACUGUAAACUAAACAAUCAUACUAGGAUACAUACAGGGAAGUGCUUUAAAUGUGACGUUUACAAGUGCUUAUGCUGAACCAGUCAAAGCUGUCGGUUGAAAAGACAUAUGACCUAGUAUACAUACAUACAGGAGAAAAUACUUUUAAUUGUGAUUUCUGUUACAAAAUAAUCUAAAAGCGCAUAUAACAAUACAUACAGGCGAAAAAUGUUUUAAAUGUGAUAUAUUGUAGUUUUGCAAGUAAUUGCAUGCAGUCAUCUGAAAAGACACAGGAUGUACAUACAGAGAAUAAACUCUUUAUGUGAUGCUUGUGGUUGCAAUUUGGGCAGAGUGACACUUUUAAAAUACACACGAAAAGACAUACUGGAGAAAAAUGCUUUAAGUGAGUUUUUUAGCUCACCUGAGCAAAAUGAGUUUUUGUGAUCGCUCGAUGUCCGUCGUCUGUCUGUAUGUCGUGUCAACAUUUAGCUUGUGUAUGCGAUAGAGGCAGUAUUUUUCAACUUAUCUUCAUGAAUUUUUGUCAGAAUGAUUACCUUGAUAAAAUCUAGGCCAAGUUCGAAAAUGGGUUAUCUCUGGUCAAAAACUAGGUCACUAGGUCAAAUCAAAGAAAAUCCUUGUGUAUGCGAUAGAGGCUGUAUUUUUAAUUGGUCUUCAUGAAUUUUGUCAGAAUGAUUACCUUGAUGAAACCUAGGCCAAGUUCGAAAAUGAGUCAUCUGGGAUCAAAAACUAGGUCACUAGGUCAAAUCAAAGAAAAACCUUGUGUAUGCAAUAGAGGCUGUAUCUUUCAAUUGAUCUUCAUGAAAUUUGGUCAGAAUGAUUGCCUUGUUGAAAUCUAGGUUGAAUGUGAAUAUGGAUUAUCUGAAGUCAAAAACUUGGUCACUAGGUCAAAUUAUAGAAAAAUCUUGUGUAUGCGAUAGAGACUGUAUUUUUCAAUUGACUUUCAUGAAAUUUGGUGAGAAUGAUUGCCUCGAGGAAAUCUAGAUCAAAUUCAAAUAUGGGUCAUCUGGGGUCAAAAACUAGGUCACUAUGUCAAAUCAAAGAAAAACCUUGUGUAUGCAAUGGAGGCUGUAUUUUUAGCUCGACUAUUCGAAGAAUAGUCUAGCUAUUCUACUCACCCUGGCGUCGGCGUCGGCGUCGGCGUCACACCUUGGUUAAGUUUUUGCAUGCAAGUACAUACAGCUAUCAUUUAAAGGCAUAUAGCUUGAAACUUAUUUAUUCUUUUUCUAGGUCAAUUACCAACCUCACUGGGUCAAGUUCCAUAACUCUAACAUGUAUUUUGAGCAAAUUAUGCCCCCUUUUGGACUUAGAAAAUUCUGGUUAAAGUUUAACAUGCAAGUUACUAUCUCCAAAACUAAUGCAGAUAUUGAAUUGAAACUUCACAUGUGUCUUCGGGGUUAUAAAACUAGUUGAUAGCACCAAGUCCCAUAACUCUGACCUUCAUUUUGGCCAAAUUAUGCCCCCUUUUGGACUUAGAAAAUUCUGGUUAAAGUUUUGCAUGCAAGUACAUACAGCUAUUACUAAAAGGCAUAUAGAUUUGAAACUUUUUUUUUCUUUUUCUAGAUCAAUUACCUACCUCACUGGGUCAAGUCCCAUAACUCUGGCAUGUAUUUUGGCCAAAUUAUGCCCCCUUUUGGACUUAGAAAAUUCUGGUUAAAGUUUUGCGUGCAAGUACAUACAGCUAUUACUAAAAGGCAUAUAGAUUUGAAACUUAUUUUUUCUUUUUCUAGAUCAAUUACCUACCUCACUGGGUCAAGUCCCAUAACUCUGACAUGUAUUUUGGCCAAAUUAUGCCCCCUUUUGGACUUAGAAAAUCCUGGUUAAAGUUUUACAUGCAAGUAACUAUCUCCAAAACUACUUCAGAUAUUAAAUUGAAACUUCACAUGUGUCUUCGGGGUUAUAAAACUAGUUGAUAGCACCAAGUCACAUAACUCUGACUUGUAUUUUGGGCAAAUUAUGCCCCCUUUUGGACUUAGAAAAUCUUGGUUAAAGUUUUGCUUGCAAGAACAUACAGCUAUUACCAAAAGGCAUAUAGCUUUGAAACUUAUUUAUUCUUUUUCUAGGUCAAUUACCAACCUCACUGGGUCAAGUUCCAUAACUUUUAACAUGUAUUUUGAGCAAAUUAUGCCCCCUUUUGGACUAAUGCAGAUAUUGAAUUGAAACUUAACAUGUUUCUUCGGGGUUAUAAUACUAGUUGAUAGCAUCAAGUCCCAUAAGUCUGAUAUGUCCCCCUUUUGAACUUAAAACUCUUUUGAUAUUUAACAUUUUGGGUAAUAAUUUCCAGCUUCUGUGACAAUAUUCCGAAUAGUCGAGCUUAGCUGUCUUACGGACAGCUCUUGUUCAAUUGGUCCUUGUGAAAUUGGUCAGAAUAAUUGCCUUGAUGAAAUCUUGAUCGAGUUUGAAUAUGGGUCAUCUGGGGUCAAAAGUAGGUCACUAGGUCCAAUCAAAGAAAAUCCUUUUGUAUGCAAUAGAGACUAUUUUUCAGUUUAUCUUCAUGAAGUUUUGUCAGAAUGAUUGCCUUGAUAAAAUCUAGGUCAAGUUUGAAUAAGGGUCAUCUUGAGUCAAAAACUAGGUCAUUAGGUCAUAUCUAAGAAAAAUACUUGUUUAAACUCAAGAGACCACAUUUUUGGUCCAGUCUUAAAGAAAAUUGGCCAAAAUAUUUGUUUCCAUGAAAUCACUAGGUCAAACAUGUUUACAGUUAUGGUGUGUUUCUCAGGUGAGCGACCUAGGGCCAUCUUGGCCCUCUUGUUUGUAGUUUUGAAUGUAUUCAGAGAAGCCAUUGGAAUGACAUAUGACAAAACAUACAGAUGGAAAAACCACUGUCUUACCUUGCAUUGUUGCAAGAGGCGACUAUAGAGUCUGAAAUCUUGAUUUUUCUGUAUCUCUGUGAUUCCAGCAGGUUUAAAAGUAUUUAUUACUUAUCUAAGAAUUUAUGUUAAUUUAUGAGUCGUGAAACAGAUAUUUUAGUCCUGUGUAACCUGUAAUAUGUUGGUGUUCCUGUUUUUAGCUCACCUGUCACGAAGUGACAAGGUGAGCUAUUGUGACCGCUUGAUGUCCGUCGUGCGUCGUCCGUCAACAAUUUUUAGCUAAUAUUACUCAGGUGAGCGAUCCAGGGUCAUCAUGACCCUCUUGUUUACAAAGUUAUCUGUUUGAUGUUUUUAGCUGUUUUAUUCAGUCAACAUAUUUGCAUAGUUGUGGUCUAAACUUAGCUAUUUUGCAUAAGUUCAGUUGUGACAUUAUUUCAGUAAAACGUAUCUAUAGUAAACACACAAGUCUAAUGGCCCCAGAAAUGUUGACGAAAAUGAGUCAUCAGGGAUCAAAAACUAGGUCACUAGGUCAAAUCAAAGAAAAACCUUGUGUAUGCAAUAGAGGCUGUAUCUUUCAAUUGAUCUUCAUGAAAUUUGGUCAGAAUGAUUGCCUUGUUGAAAUCUAGGUUGAGGGUGAAUAUGGGUUAUCUGAGAUCAAAAACUGGGUCACUAGAUCAAAUUAUAGAAAAAUAUUGUGUAUGCGAUAGAGACUGUAUUUUUCAAUUGACUUUCAUGAGAUUUGGUCAGAAUGAUUGCCUUGAGGAAAUCUAGAUCAAAUUCAAAUAUGGGUCAUCGGGGGUCAAAAAGUAGGUCACUAGGUCCAAUCAAAGAAAAUCCUUUUGUAUGCAAUAUAGACUAUUUUUCAAUUUAUCUUCAUGAAGUUUUGUCAGAAUGAUUGCCUUGAUAAAAUCUAGGUCAAGUUUGAAUAAGGGUCAUCUUGAGUCAAAAACUAGGUCAUUAGGUCAUAUCUAAGAAAAUACUUGUUUAAACUCAAGAGACCACAUUUUUGGUCCAAUCUUAAUGAAAAUUGGCCAAAAUAUUUGUUUCCAUGAAAUCACUAGGUCAAACAUGUUUACACUGUUAUGGUGUGUUUCUCAGGUGAGCGACCUAGGGCCAUCUUGGCCCUCUUGUUUGUAGUUUUGAAUGUAUUCAGAGAAGUCAUUUGGAAUGACAUAUGAGAAAACAUACAGAGGAAAAACCACUGUCUUACCUUGCAUUGUUGCAAGAGGCGACUAUAGAGUCUGAAAUCUUGAUUUUUCUGUAUCUCUGUGAUUCCAGCAGGUUUAAAAGUAUUUAUUACUUAUCUAAGAAUUUAUGUUAAUUUAUGAGUUGUGAAACAGAUUUUUUAGUCCUGUGUUACCUGUAAUAUGUUGGUGUUCCUAUUUUUAGCUCACCUGUCACGAAGUGACAAGGUGAGCUAUUGUGACCGCUUGAUGUCCGUCGUCCGUCAACAAUUUGUAAAAAAAAUCUUCUUCUUGAAAACCACGGGCAGAAUUACACCAAACUUCACAGGAAUGAUCCUUGGGUGGCCCCCUUUCAAAAUUGUUCAAAGAAUUGAAUUCCAUGCAGCACUCUGGUUGCCAUGGCAACCGAAAGGAAAAACUUUAAAAAUCUUCUUCUCAAAAACCAGAAGCGCUAGAGCUUAGAUAUUUGGUGUGAAGCAUUGCCUAAUGGACCUCUACCAAUUUUAUUCAAAUCAUGACCCCAGGGUCAAAAUUGACCCCGCCCCAGGGGUCACUUGAUUUUACAUAGGAAAAUCUUAAAAAAUCUUCUUCUCAAAAACCAGAAGCCCUAGAGCUUAGAUAUUUAACAUGUAGCAUUGCCUAGUGGACCUCUACUAAAAUUAUUCAAAUCAUGACCCCGAGGUCAAAAUUGACCCCGCUCCAGGGGUCACUUGAUUUUACAUAGGAAAAUCUUAAAAAAAAAUCUAAAAAUAAACAAUAAGGCCUAGAUCUUAGAUAUUUGACAUGUAGCAUAGCCUAGUAGACUUCUACAAAAUUUAUUCAAAUCAUGACCCCCGGGGUCAAAUUGACCCCGCCCCAUGGGGUUUCUUGAUUGUACAUAGAAAAAUCUUCAAAAUUUUCUAAAAAUAAACCAGAAGGUCUAGAGCUUAGAUAUUUGACAUGUAGCAUUGCCUAGUGGACCUCUACAAAAUUUGUUCAAAUCUUGACCCCCAGGGUCAAAUUGACCCAGCCCUAGGGGUUACUUGAUUGUACAUAGAGAAAUCUUCAUAAAUUUGCUAAAAAUAAACCAGAAGGCCUAGAUAUUUGAUAUGUAACAUUGCCUUAUAGACUUCUACAAACUUUGUUCAAAUCAUGACCCCCGGGGUAAAAUUGGUCCCGCCACAGGGGUUACUUGAUUUUACAUCGAAAAAUCUUCCAAAAAAUUUCUAAAAAUCAUCAGUUUGACAUUUGAAACAUGUAGCUAAUAUUACCCAGGUGAGCGAUCCAGGGUCAUCAUGACCCUCUUGUUUAAAAAGUUAUCUGUUAGAUGUUUUUAGCUGUUUUAUUCAGUCAACAUUUUUGCAGUAUAGUUGUGGUCUAAACUUAGCUAUUUUGCAUAAGUUUAGUUGUGACAUUAUUUCAGUAAAACGUAUCUAUAGUAAACACACAAGUCUAAUGGCCCCAGAAAUGUUGAUGUGAGUUUUUAAUUUUAAAUCAAAGUACAUAUGGCAUUUCUUGAUAUUUCAAAGCAAAUACUUAAUACAGUCUGUCUGUAGUUGAUGUUAAAAACAGUAAGGUUUAAUGGGUAAACUAGCCAGUUCCCUUGUUACUACGUAUUCUUGUCAGGCAAUAUCGCAUUCUUUGGACAUAAAGUUUAAUGUAGCACAAUGCACAAAUGGCUUUCUGGAAAAACUGGAAUGCCAAAAUAUCAUGUGGAGAACACUUAAUUUGUCAUCAUAACUGGUUAGCUAUCUUAAUACAAUAGCAGAAGUAAGGCGUAAAAAAUGUUUGUUUCCGGUAUCUUGCUACUUUAAAAAGAAAUUAGGGUAGGUAGGUUGGUAAUUUUUUUUUUUAUUAUUAAGUAGCAGGUGGUAACCGUAUUAAUCAUUUUGUGCUUUUUUAGCUCACCUGAGCAAUGCUUUUCUGAUCGCUCGAUGUCCGGCGUCCGUCGUCUGUCGUCAAAAACUAGGCAACUAGGUCAAAUCAAAGAAAACAUUGUGUAUGCGUUAGAGGCUGAAUUUUUCAUCUGAUCUUCAUGAAUAUUGGUCAGAAUGAUUACUUUGAUGAAAUCUAGGCCGAGUUUGGAAAGGGGUCAGCUGGGGUCAAAAACUAGGUCACUAGGUCAAAUCAAGGAAAAACCUUGUGUAUGCGAUGGAGGCUGUACUUUUCAAUUAAUCUUCAUGAAUUUUGGUCAGGAUGAUUGCCUUGAUAAAAUCUAGGUCAUGUUCGAAUAUGGGUCAUCUGGGGUCAAAAAGUAGGUCACUAGGUCAGAUCAAAGGAAAAGUUUGUAUAUGCCAUAUAGGCUGUAUUUUUCAAUAGAUCUUCCUGAAAUUUAGUCAAAAUGAUAACUUUAAUAAAUUCUAGGCCGAGUUCGAAAAUGGGUCAUCUGGGGUCAAAAACUAGGUCACUAGGUCAAAUCAAGGAAAAAACUUGUGUAUGUGAUAGAGGCUGUAUUUUUCAAUUGAUCUUUAUGAAUAUUGGUCAGAAUGAUUGCUUUGAUAAUAUCUAGGCCGAGUUUGAAAAUGGGUCAGCUGGGGUUAAAAACUAGGUCACUAGGUCAUAUCUGAGAAAAUACUUGUUUAAACUCAAGAGACCACAUUUGUAGUCCGAUCUUAAUGAAAAUUGACCAAAAUAUUUGUUUUCAUGAAAUCACUAGGUUAAACAUGUUUACACUGUUAUAGUGUGUUUCUCAGGUGAGCAACCUAGGGCCAUCUUGGUCCUCUUGUUUCUAAUAGUGAAUGCAUUAAUAAUGCCUGUAAGUGCGACAUGUAUUGAUACACAUGUGUUACAUUUAAACAUGUGAAAAACACCUGUGACUGUCACUGACUUUCAAACAACUGUAGUGCACUAUUGCAGAGUAGAUGAACUGUAAAUGUUAUUACGAAGAAGUAUAUGAACAACUGGCAUAAUUCAUUUGAAAACACACGCAAGGAAAAGUAGACUAAAAUUUUGACAUUGCUAAGAAAAUUUUCAUUCAUUUAGGAUGUAAAGAGAUGUGUGAGGGAGAUUAGAAAUAGAUAUGACGUUCAUUUGCGUAAGUCACAGAACUAUAAUUGUUGAGUAAAUGUGGGAAUACAAAUAGAGCAGGUUUUAAAAUUAUUGUUUAUACAAAUUCAGAUCAUCAAGUGUUAUGUUAGAAAUAUAUUGAAAAUGUAUGCAGAAUAUGCAAAUUUUGAUUCCAUAACUCGUGUUUUUAUUUCGAUGUAAAUGAGAUGUGGAACCAAAAUUUGUAGUCCUGUUUGGCGUCAUAUAACCUAUACUGUGUUGGUGCGCUGUAAAACCCAAAUAAAUAAAUAAGUAAGUAUGCAGAAUAGUAAAAACGUACUUUUGAAAUUAGCUGACCAAGUCAAAAGAAAAGAGCUUUAAAGAAAACAUAUCGAAAUGUGACAAAUGUGUUUAACUACAUUUCUAUGCAGCAGUCUGAAGACAUUGAUAUAAAAAAGGGUCAGACAAAAUGAUUGAAGGGAAAUUCUGGUCCAUUAUAGUAGAUGCAAAACUUGUGAAAUUUCACUGGCAGUAGUAAUGUACGUUGUCGAAGAUGUCAGAAUCUGACUAUGUGUGGAUUCAGGCAAAAGCAUUUAUAUAUGUGGAUUAUUAUGGCAAAAACAUUUAUGUGUUUAUUCCCAGGCUAUGUUUUACAACCUGUGUGCCAAAGAGAAAUUUAAAUCUGAGGAAGAAAAAGUUUAUGGUUAUUAUGCCUCCUUCGAAGAAGGAGGGGUAUAUGUUUUGCAGAUGUUGGUCGGGUCAGUCGGUCUGUAGGUAUAUAUACCAAUCCGUUUACGGAUGAUAACUCAAGCACACUUGGGCCUAGGAUAAUGAAAGUUGAUAGGGUGAUUGGUCAUAAUCAGCAGAUGACCCCUAUUGAUUUUGAGAUCAGUAGGUCAAAGGUCAAGGGCACAGUGACCUGAAACAGUUAAACUGUUUCUUGAUAUUUCAAGAAUGCUUUGGCCUAUGAUCAUGAAAGUUGAUAGGAAGGUUGGUCAUGACCAGCAGAUGACUUCUAUUGAUUUUGGGGUCAAUAGGUUUAAGGUCAAGGUCACAAUUACCAGGAACAGUUAAACAAUGUCCGGAUGCUAACUCAAGAAUGCUUUGGCCCAGGGUCAUGAAAGUUUAUAGGAAGAUUGGUCAUGACCAGCAGAUGACCCCUAUUGAUUUUGAGGUCAAUAGGGCAAAGGUCAGGGUCACAGUGACCAAGAACAGUUGAACAGUUUCCAGAUGAUAACUCAAGAACGCUUGGGCCGAAUAUCAUGAACGUUGAUAGGGAGGUUGGCCAUUACCAGCAGAUGACCCCUAUUGAUUUUAAGGUCAGUAGGUCAAAGGUCACAGUGACCCAGACUGGAACUGUUUAACCGUUUCCAGACGGUAACUUGAGAACGCUUGGGCCUAGGAUCACGAAACUUGAUAGGUAGGUUGAUCAUGAUCAGCAGAUGACCCCUAUUGAUUUUGAGGUCAGUAGGUCAAAGGUUAAGAUCACAUUGACCCAGCACAGUAGAACUUUUGUGUAUACAGUUACCAAAUAAUUUCUGUUCCUUGUGCAAUUACUGAAUGCAUCAAGGGGUGCAUUUCGUGUUCAGUAAGCUCUUGUUUAUGUUGGAUUUGCUGACUACAGGACUGUAAUCAGUGCAAUUAACUGUGUCUGUAACUGAACGUAUGAUUUAUUAUUAAUGUGGAUAUCUGUUUCUUUUACUGUUUGUUUUAAAAACUUGUUACGUAUCUUUUUAACUAUGUUAGAUGUUAAAUUGUUAAUUAUAAUAUUGAAGUUUACGAAAUACA